ACGCUCGACACCUACGGGAUGCAGCAGUGAGGAAUAUUGGUCAAUGGGCGCCAGCCUGAACCAGCCAAGUAGCGUGAAGGAUGAAGGCUCUAUGGGUCGUAAACUUCUUUUAUAUAAGAAUAAAGUGCAGUAUGUAUACUGUUUUGUAUGUAUUAUAUGAAUAAGGAUCGGCUAACUCCGUGCCAGCAGCGUGACGUAUCUGGCGGCGGGUCGUACGGGACCGAAGGC
rnacentral:rRNA from 1 species